GGGGGUGACCCGGUUUCGACAGGGGAACUGAAGGCGCUGUUGCGUGUCGAGGAUUCCGUUGGCCUCGUUAAAAAACGGAAAAGCCAUUAACUGGCAACCAGAACGAAUUUGCUUUCGCUGCAUAAGUGAAGCCAGUGACCGUGAAGCCCUGCCUUUGGCGUCGCGCGAGCUGAAACAAAAGAAGGCUAGUCCGGGCGAUGUUCUGUAGUCCAGGGCGAAACUAAACAGAAAUAAGGAAGGGGGAAACCCGCCCACUGGUGGCCCCUGACCCGACAAUCAAACAGUGGGAUACACACGUAGACGCACGUUGGACGGACUUUUGGACGGCGGUUCGACUCCGCCCACCUCCACCA
rfam:Deinococcus marmoris strain KOPRI26562 contig-8000010, whole genome shotgun sequence.